GAACCGAGCUAAUAUUUUUUUUUUCGUGAAUUUUCGUCCUUGAAUAUCACAUUUUUGGCGACAUUUCGGCUUGAAAACGCAUGUGACACGCGUUGAGCAUCAAGAAAUGCACACUGGGAAGCUGCUAAACGAGUUCCAAAAUGCUAAAUCUUGCAGCAAAAACGAAGAUUCUGUACUGCUUAUGUCUCGUCGAAGUCAAGAAACCUCCGAUCUCCAUUCACACCACGUUAUAAAGGACAUGGCAGGCAUUGCAUGCCCGCACUCGUCAUACUCGUGGGAAGAAAUCUGACACCAUUCGGCGGCAUAUCACGCGGUCGUCGCCGGCCAGCCGUGCCGGGAGUUCGAGCUCGAAACCCCACCACAAACAUCGCUUGUGACAGGCACCGCUUUGGAGUCGAGUUUUGGGUGUAAUAUGCGGCUGUAAAUGGAGAUGUUUUGAUUGUUCCUUCUGAUGACGAUGCAGACCUUGGAAUCUACAUUACGAGACAUGAUGAAGAACUCUGUGAAGAAUCAAACUAUGGCCAGACUUGAACUGAAUUUUAAAAAUCCUUUUAUUUAAUAUACUUUAAAAAAUUUUAAUUAUUUUAAUAAUGGAGACUAGACAUGCAUUAAACAGAAAUGUAACCAUUAACAAAUGUACUCAGAAGUAGUCAGAAGAAAUCAAAAGUAAGUUUACCGACUUAGUCUUAGAAUAGCUACAUGGCUUCUGCUGACAACCAAGUAUAUGUAUCAUCGAGCCAAUGCAAAACUAGAGACUUUAAUUGUUUAUUUUGACAAAAUAUCUCCUGAUUAAAUUGAUAUUGCAGUAUACAUGUAGUGAACAAAAAUUGCAGUAUGGUUAUAAGACAAAAAUGCUUGGGUCUAGUAACAUCGGCUGUUAUAUUGGAUUCGAAAUUAGGAUUGCAGCAAGGAUUUAAUUUUUCAUUCUAGUGAUUUUCGAAUAAAAGUGUUUUUUUUUUACAAAUUAUUUUGUUGAAAGAACAAAAAGCAAAACACUAAAACUGGUCGGUGUUUCAAACUGAAAUUGAAACUUGGGCUUUCAAAAAGGGAUGGAAAGAGAAAAUUCAAUGAAAUAAUUAUAAUAAUUUAAAUGAGGAAUAGGUCUACUGAAUACCAUUGCUACUUUUCAUAAAUAAUGGAUUAUCUUGUAAUUUAACAGUCUACCAGGUGCAACAAUAAAAAAUUUCACGGAACUGCUUAAA
rnacentral:lncRNA from 1 species